rnacentral:tRNA from 1 species
GCUGGUGUGGCUCAACGGUAGGGCAGCUGACUUGUAAUCAGCAGGUUGCAGGUUCGAUUCCUAUCACCAGCUCCA